GACGAACGCUGGCGGCGUGCUUAACACAUGCAAGUCGAACGGACAGACCCUGCUUUUGUGGGGUUCUCGAGUGGCGAACGGGUGAGUAACACGUGAGUAACCUGCCCUUGACUGUGGGAUAACUUCAGGAAACUGGGGCUCAUACCGGAUAGAAGCUCCUGCUGCAUGGUGGGGGUUGGAAAGUUUCGGCGGUUGGGGCUGGACUCGCGGCGUACCAGCUUGUUGGUAGGGUAGUGACUUACCAGGGCUUUGACGGGUAUACGACCUGUUCGAGGGGUCGGCCGCCUGGGAGGUUGACCGGCGACAUGGGGACUACGAGAGGCCGCAGAAUCCAAUGGGCCGCAGCAGGGGAGAGUAUUGCACAAUGGGGGGAAGCCAGUGGCAGCAACGCCGCGUGCGGGAUGCCGGGUUUCUGGUUGUAAACAGAUUUCGCAUGUGCCGAAGCGUGAUUGACGGUAAUGGGUAAAGAAGCACCGGCUAACUACGUG
rnacentral:rRNA from 1 species